rnacentral:tRNA from 1 species
UGUGGUUUUAGUUUAGAAAAAUAUCUGUUUUGCAAGCAGGAGACCUAAGUUAAAAUCUUAGAAGCUACAA